GACGAACGCUGGCGGCGUGCUUAACACAUGCAAGUCGAACGGUGAAGCGCCUUCCUUUUUGGUGGGUGUGGAUGAGUGGCGAACGGGUGGGUAACACGUGAGUAACCUGCCCCCUUCUUCUGGAUAACCGCAUGAAAGUGUGGCUAAUACGGGAUAUUCUGGGUCUGUCGCAUGAUGGGUCUGGGAAAGAUAUUGUUUCGGUGGGGGAUGGGCUCGCGGCCUAUCAGCUUGUUGGUGGGGUGAUGGCCUACCAAGGCGGUGACGGGUAGCCGGCCUGAGAGGGUGGACGGUCACACUGGGACUGAGACACGGCCCAGACUCCUACGGGAGGCAGCAGUGGGGAAUAUUGCACAAUGGGCGCAAGCCUGAUGCAGCGACGCCGCGUGAGGGAUGGAGGCCUUCGGGUUGUGAACCUCUUUCGCCAGUGAAGCAGGCCUGCCUCGUUUGUGGGUGGGUUGACGGUAGCUGGAUAAGAAGCGCCGGCUAACUACGUG
rnacentral:rRNA from 1 species